rnacentral:rRNA from 1 species
CCCUUAGACGUUCUGGGCCGCACACGCGCUACACUGACGGAGCCAGCGAGUAUAAACCUUGGCCGAGAGGUCUGGGAAAUCUUGUGAAACUCCGUCGUGCUGGGGAUAGAGCAUUGUAAUUAUUGCUCUUCAACGAGGAAUUCCUAGUAAGCGCAAGUCAUCAGCUUGCGUUGAUUACGUCCCUGCCCUUUGUACACACCGCCCGUCGCUACUACCGAUUGAAUGGCUUAGUGAGGCUUCCGGAUUGGUUUAGAGAAGGGGGCAACUCCAUCUUGGAACCGAGAAGCUAGUCAAACUUGGUCAUUUAGAGGAAGUAAAAGUCGUAACA